UUUGCGAUGGUGGCAGUGGCUGAGGGUCCCCUGUAAGCAGGGAAGCAGACUCCUUUGGCCGCUGCUUUUUGUGUGCCCAGCUCCAUUUGCCCAGUCUGCCCGCCUCCGCGAUCCCCUGCAUCGCCGGCUGGAGCCUUCGCAGCGCGCCAGUGAGGAUCUGCUGCUGGAGAAAGAAGACGCAGUGCGGGGAGCCUGGUGGCAGGAGUGUGGUUGAUGGGGUUGCUUUUCACUGUCUUUUUAUCUUGUUAUCAGCUUUUUCUUUGAAAUGCAUGUUUAUAAGUGUGGUUGCUCCCCAUUCCCUUUCCUCACCCCUGUGAAUAAAGUUUUUGUUUUUUUCGUUCA